AAACUAUACUGGAUGAUAUUAGUAAGUAUUUUCUUACUCCUGAAGUGGAUGUGGCUCCUGAGACUAUUAAGGAUCAUGAUGUAGCUACACAAGAUAAUGCAAGUACUGAUGAAACCAAGAUACCAACUAAUACACAGUC